GGCUGGUCUGAAGUAGUGAGUUAACUCAAUUACUUGUUCACUGUCAGUUAUAGAUUAACCUUCUCACUCUUGCCCCUUCUCACCACUGCACUUGACCUGAUCCCA
rnacentral:Y_RNA from 1 species